rnacentral:rRNA from 1 species
UUAAGCGACUAAGCGUACACGGUGGAUGCCCUGGCAGUCAGAGGCGAUGAAGGACGUGCUAAUCUGCGAUAAGCGUCGGUAAGGUGAUAUGAACCGUUAUAACCGGCGAUUUCCGAAUGGGGAAACCCAGUGUGAUUCGUCACACUAUCAUUAACUGAAUCCAUAGGUUAAUGAGGCGAACCGGGGGAACUGAAACAUCUAAGUACCCCGAGGAAAAGAAAUCAACCGAGAUUCCCCCAGUAGCGGCGAGCGAACGGGGAGCAGCCCAGAGCCUGAAUCAGUGUGUGUGUUAGUGGAAGCGUCUGGAAAGGCGUGCGAUACAGGGUGACAGCCCCGUACACAAAAAUGCACAUACUGUGAGCUCGAUGAGUAGGGCGGGACACGUGGUAUCCUGUCUGAAUAUGGGGGGACCAUCCUCCAAGGCUAAAUACUCCUGACUGACCGAUAGUGAACCAGUACCGUGAGGGAAAGGCGAAAAGAACCCCGGCGAGGGGAGUGAAAAAGAACCUGAAACCGUGUACGUACAAGCAGUGGGAGCACAGAGCAAUCUGUGUGACUGCGUACCUUUUGUAUAAUGGGUCAGCGACUUAUAUUCUGUAGCAAGGUUAACCGAAUAGGGGAGCCGAAGGGAAACCGAGUCUUAACUGGGCGUUAAGUUGCAGGGUAUAGACCCGAAACCCGGUGAUCUAGCCAUGGGCAGGUUGAAGGUUGGGUAACACUAACUGGAGGACCGAACCGACUAAUGUUGAAAAAUUAGCGGAUGACUUGUGGCUGGGGGUGAAAGGCCAAUCAAACCGGGAGAUAGCUGGUUCUCCCCGAAAGCUAUUUAGGUAGCGCCUCGUGAAUUCAUCUCCGGGGGUAGAGCACUGUUUCGGCAAGGGGGUCAUCCCGACUUACCAACCCGAUGCAAACUGCGAAUACCGGAGAAUGUUAUCACGGGAGACACACGGCGGGUGCUAACGUCCGUCGUGAAGAGGGAAACAACCCAGACCGCCAGCUAAGGUCCCAAAGUCAUGGUUAAGUGGGAAACGAUGUGGGAAGGCCCAGACAGCCAGGAUGUUGGCUUAGAAGCAGCCAUCAUUUAAAGAAAGCGUAAUAGCUCACUGGUCGAGUCGGCCUGCGCGGAAGAUGUAACGGGGCUAAACCAUGCACCGAAGCUGCGGCAGCGACACUAUGUGUUGUUGGGUAGGGGAGCGUUCUGUAAGCCUGCGAAGGUGUGCUGUGAGGCAUGCUGGAGGUAUCAGAAGUGCGAAUGCUGACAUAAGUAACGAUAAAGCGGGUGAAAAGCCCGCUCGCCGGAAGACCAAGGGUUCCUGUCCAACGUUAAUCGGGGCAGGGUGAGUCGACCCCUAAGGCGAGGCCGAAAGGCGUAGUCGAUGGGAAACAGGUUAAUAUUCCUGUACUUGGUGUUACUGCGAAGGGGGGACGGAGAAGGCUAUGUUGGCCGGGCGACGGUUGUCCCGGUUUAAGCGUGUAGGCUGGUUUUCCAGGCAAAUCCGGAAAAUCAAGGCUGAGGCGUGAUGACGAGGCACUACGGUGCUGAAGCAACAAAUGCCCUGCUUCCAGGAAAAGCCUCUAAGCAUCAGGUAACAUCAAAUCGUACCCCAAACCGACACAGGUGGUCAGGUAGAGAAUACCAAGGCGCUUGAGAGAACUCGGGUGAAGGAACUAGGCAAAAUGGUGCCGUAACUUCGGGAGAAGGCACGCUGAUAUGUAGGUGAAGCGACUUGCUCGUGGAGCUGAAAUCAGUCGAAGAUACCAGCUGGCUGCAACUGUUUAUUAAAAACACAGCACUGUGCAAACACGAAAGUGGACGUAUACGGUGUGACGCCUGCCCGGUGCCGGAAGGUUAAUUGAUGGGGUCAGCGCAAGCGAAGCUCUUGAUCGAAGCCCCGGUAAACGGCGGCCGUAACUAUAACGGUCCUAAGGUAGCGAAAUUCCUUGUCGGGUAAGUUCCGACCUGCACGAAUGGCGUAAUGAUGGCCAGGCUGUCUCCACCCGAGACUCAGUGAAAUUGAACUCGCUGUGAAGAUGCAGUGUACCCGCGGCAAGACGGAAAGACCCCGUGAACCUUUACUAUAGCUUGACACUGAACAUUGAGCCUUGAUGUGUAGGAUAGGUGGGAGGCUUUGAAGUGUGGACGCCAGUCUGCAUGGAGCCGACCUUGAAAUACCACCCUUUAAUGUUUGAUGUUCUAACGUUGACCCGUAAUCCGGGUUGCGGACAGUGUCUGGUGGGUAGUUUGACUGGGGCGGUCUCCUCCUAAAGAGUAACGGAGGAGCACGAAGGUUGGCUAAUCCUGGUCGGACAUCAGGAGGUUAGUGCAAUGGCAUAAGCCAGCUUGACUGCGAGCGUGACGGCGCGAGCAGGUGCGAAAGCAGGUCAUAGUGAUCCGGUGGUUCUGAAUGGAAGGGCCAUCGCUCAACGGAUAAAAGGUACUCCGGGGAUAACAGGCUGAUACCGCCCAAGAGUUCAUAUCGACGGCGGUGUUUGGCACCUCGAUGUCGGCUCAUCACAUCCUGGGGCUGAAGUAGGUCCCAAGGGUAUGGCUGUUCGCCAUUUAAAGUGGUACGCGAGCUGGGUUUAGAACGUCGUGAGACAGUUCGGUCCCUAUCUGCCGUGGGCGCUGGAGAACUGAGGGGGGCUGCUCCUAGUACGAGAGGACCGGAGUGGACGCAUCACUGGUGUUCGGGUUGUCAUGCCAAUGGCACUGCCCGGUAGCUAAAUGCGGAAGAGAUAAGUGCUGAAAGCAUCUAAGCACGAAACUUGCCCCGAGAUGAGUUCUCCCUGACUCCUUGAGAGUCCUGAAGGAACGUUGAAGACGACGACGUUGAUAGGCCGGGUGUGUAAGCGCAGCGAUGCGUUGAGCUAACCGGUACUAAUGAACCGUGAGGCUUAACCU